GUGAGGAAUAUUGGUCAAUGGGCGCGAGCCUGAACCAGCCAAGUAGCGUGAAGGAUGAAGGUCCUAUGGAUUGUAAACUUCUUUUAUAGUAGAAUAAAGUGAGCCACGUGUGGUUUUUUGUAUGUAUACUAUGAAUAAGGAUCGGCUAACUCCGUGCCAGCAGCCGCGGUAAUACGGAGGAUCCGAGCGUUAUCCGGAUUUAUUGGGUUUAAAGGGUGCGUAGGCGGAUUAAUAAGUCAGUUGUGAAAGUUUGCGGCUCAACCGUAAAAUUGCAGUUGAUACUGUUAAUCUUGAGUGUACAUAAGGUAGGCGGAAUUCGUGGUGUAGCGGUGAAAUGCUUAGAUAUCACGAAGAACUCCGAUUGCGAAGGCAGCUUACCGGGGUACAACUGACGCUGAGGCACGAAAGUGUGGGUAUCAAACAGGAUUAGAAACCCUGGUAGUCC
rnacentral:rRNA from 1 species